CAGUAGGGAAUCUUCCGCAAUGGACGAAAGUCUGACGGAGCAACGCCGCGUGAGUGAUGAAGGUUUUCGGAUCGUAAAACUCUGUUGUUAGGGAAGAACAAGUACNGGAGUAACUGCCGGUACCUUGACGGUACCUAACCAGAAAGCCACGGCUAACUACGUGCCAGCAGCCGCGGUAAUACGUAGGUGGCAAGCGUUGUCCGGAAUUAUUGGGCGUAAAGCGCGCGCAGGCGGUUCCUUAAGUCUGAUGUGAAAGCCCACGGCUCAACCGUGGAGGGUCAUUGGAAACUGGGGAACUUGAGUGCAGAAGAGGAAAGUGGAAUUCCAAGUGUAGCGGUGAAAUGCGUAGAGAUUUGGAGGAACACCAGUGGCGAAGGCGACUUUCUGGUCUGUAACUGACGCUGAGGCGCGAAAGCGUGGGGAGCAAACAGGAU
rnacentral:rRNA from 1 species